UACGGAGGAUCCGAGCGUUAUCCGGAUUUAUUGGGUUUAAAGGGUGCGCAGGCGGGAAGUUAAGUCGGCGGUGAAAUUUUGCGGCUCAACCGUAAAAGCGCCAUCGAAACUGGUUUUCUUGAGGGUGGAUGAAGUAGGCGGAAUUUGUGGUGUAGCGGUGAAAUGCAUAGAUAUCACAAAGAACACCGAUUGCGGAGGCAGCUUACUAAGCCACAUCUGACGCUCAUGCACGAAGGCGUGGGGAUCAAACAGGAUUAGAUACC
rnacentral:rRNA from 1 species